CACAGAUUCACUGCGCUCUCCUCCGCCGACUGUGGUUUCUCUGCUCUUAGCUGCAUCUUCUAUCCAUGCUAUCAACGUAAGGACCAACAGAAGAUGCGAGGGCUUUGGUCGCAGAGUUUGUUCUUGGCGGAAGGAACGUACUCUCUUUCUGGUCACUGCGUUCCCUGUCUUUACAUUGAGAAGGUUCUUAAUUUCUUCCUCUUCUUGUUACAGUUGCUUGUGUUUUUUUUUUCUUCUUCGAAUUCCUAUUUAUUUAUGGAGUUUUUCUGGUCUUCUUUACUGUUCAAAUUUGUGCUUAUACUGCCAGAACUGCUUCCCAAAGAGAGUUGACUCCAGUCAUAGAUGUGGCACCAGGUAAGGAUUAUGUAUCAAGUACUCUUAAAGCUUGUGCUGGAAUGGGUCUCAAGAAAUUGGGUAGACAGUUGCAGGCUAUCAGUGUUUGUCUGCAAGUUCAUGCACUUGCUCAGAAAUCAGGUUUUGAAUUUCACAGCUAUGUGGUAAAUAGCCUCAUCGAUGCAUAUGGGAAAUGUGGCCAUGUAAGAUGCAUCAAAGAUAUUUAUAGAAAGCCCAAUCGUCGAUUUUGUAACUCUCACAUCUAUGAUUACAGGUUAUGUUCAAGACAGGCAAAAGACAAUAUUCAAAACCUGAUUUAUUACGCCGAAAAUGUGGUCAACUGCAUUAAAUCGCGAGUGAAAUCAAUUCCCCACAACUUCAGUUUCGAAUUCACCGCGGUGUGAUGAUACCAUAACGCAUCGCUCAACCAAAUAAUUUUUUACUUCAACACGGCGUGUUUAAGUCAAAAGCGGUGCGUUUGGUAGGUGUAAACAAAAAACCAAACGCUCCCAAUGCCUCUCGACAUACUUUCUCCGAAUCAAGUGUUCCAAAUCCUGAACCCAACUUUUCGCGGCUCCUUCCAUCCCAACGAAACCCAUUUGCCAAGCAAAGCUGUGGGCGCAGAACAUGAGCUAUUCGGACAUACCACAAGCUGCUCGGACAUCAGUUGCAGAUUUCAGGAUUUUUUAUUAAUAUAAAAUAUUUGUUUUGAGAGGGUUCUUUCUAGGGUUUUAAAGAGAGACGGAAAACAUAGUGAGGAGAGUUUUGUGAGAUCAUUAUUGAGUGAACAAUGGUGUGAUUUCUUGUGAGAUUCUCAAGGGUUGUGAUCAAGGCUUGUUAUCAUGCAACUAUUCUUACAAGGGCUUGCGCUCUGUUGAUUUAUGUUAUUUUGUUCCUAAUGUU